rnacentral:rRNA from 1 species
UACGAGAGGCCCAAACGUUAUUCGGAAUUACUGGGCUUAAAGAGUUCGUAGGCGGCGCAGAAAGUAGGGUGUGAAAGCCCUCGGCUCAACCGAGGAAUUGCGCUCUAAACUACUGUGCUUGAGGGACCUAGAGGUGAGCGGAACUGAUGGUGGAGCGGUGAAAUGCGUUGAUAUCAUCAGGAACACCGGUGGCGAAGGCGCUCUGCUAGGCCGCAACUGACACUGAGGGACGAAAGCUAGGGGAGCAAACGGG